AAGCGUAAUAGCUCACUGGUCGAGUCGGCCUGCGCGGAAGAUGUAACGGGGCUAAACCAUGCACCGAAGCUGCGGCAGCGACACUGUGUGUUGUUGGGUAGGGGAGCGUUCUGUAAGCCUGUGAAGGUGUGUCGUGAGGCAUGCUGGAGGUAUCAGAAGUGCGAAUGCUGACAUAAGUAACGAUAAAGCGGGUGAAAAGCCCGCUCGCCGGAA
rnacentral:rRNA from 1 species